GACGAACGCUGGCGGCGUGCUUAACACAUGCAAGUCGAACGGAAAGGCCCUGCUUUUGUGGGGUGCUCGAGUGGCGAACGGGUGAGUAACACGUGAGUAACCUGCCCUUGACUUUGGGAUAACUUCAGGAAACUGGGGCUAAUACCGGAUAGGAGCUCCUGCUGCAUGGUGGGGGUUGGAAAGUUUCGGCGGUUGGGGAUGGACUCGCGGCUUAUCAGCUUGUUGGUGGAGUAGUGGCUUACCAAGGCUUUGACGGGUAGCCGGCCUGAGAGGGUGACCGGCCACAUUGGGACUGAGAUACGGCCCAGACUCCUACGGGAGGCAGCAGUGGGGAAUAUUGCACAAUGGGCGGAAGCCUGAUGCAGCAACGCCGCGUGCGGGACGACGGCCUUCGGGUUGUAAACCGCUUUCGCCUGUGACGAAGCGUGAGUGACGGUAAUGGGUAAAGAAGCACCGGCUAACUACGUG
rnacentral:rRNA from 1 species